GAUGAACGCUGGCGGCGUGCCUAAUACAUGCAAGUCGAGCGAACAGACGAGGAGCUUGCUCCUCUGACGUUAGCGGCGGACGGGUGAGUAACACGUGGAUAACCUACCUAUAAGACUGGGAUAACUUCGGGAAACCGGAGCUAAUACCGGAUAAUAUAUUGAACCGCAUGGUUCAAUAGUGAAAGACGGUUUUGCUGUCUCUUAUAGAUGGAUCCGCGCCGCAUUAGCUAGUUGGUAAGGUAACGGCUUACCAAGGCAACGAUGCGUAGCCGACCUGAGAGGGUGAUCGGCCACACUGGAACUGAGACACGGACCAGACUCCUACGGGAGGCAGCAGUAGGGAAUCUGCCGCAAUGGGCGAAAGCCUGACGGAGCAACGCCGCGUGAGUGAUGAAGGUCUUCGGAUCGUAAAACUCUGUUAUUAGGGAAGAACAAAUGUGUAAGUAACUAUGCACGUCUUGACGGUACCUAAUCAGAAAGCCACGGCUAACUACGUG
rnacentral:rRNA from 1 species